ACUUGCUUGAGUUUUCCAGUUGAAAAAAAUUUGAUACUCAUCAAAAGGAAUUAAAGAUGUCCAUCAUCUCACCAACUCUUUUAAUUUUUCUAUUUCUCAUUUUUGGAGCAGGUCCAAUGGUGGUAGCAAACAAAGACACAAUACCAAAAAGGCCAUGCUUGGUUACUGCUUUGGGCACCUGUGGCACAAGUUGUGACCAACCAUGUUGUAAACAAAAAUGUAUUGACAAGUUCCAGGAAAAAUAUUCAGAUUCAAUUUGUCAAUUUCUGAGUGGAAGUAAAGCUCGUUUAUGCAAUUGUUACCAUGAUUGUUAAUUAAUUAAUGUGAGAUUAAUGUUGUUCAUGUUUUAGAAAAAUGAAAUGUGAUAUAUCACAUGGUUAUUGUUAUUGGUGGUUUUAAUGUCAUUGUUCAAAUUAUUCUCUUCGUAUAA